UAGAGAUGGUCUCGUUGGAUCCGGGCGUAACGAUGGGUCCGACAUGGAUCGCCGGUGGCGUCGCCAGCGAUAUUCCACUUUCGCCGCUCCUGCUCAUGUUGAUUCUGAGCGACUAACUCCUUGGGUAGACUAUUUAGUUACCUAUGAGGGAUUCAACAAAAAUUGACAGAUAUGGUUUACGAGACACCCUAUAUAUCCCACAAUUUUCAGAAGGGUUAACGCAAACCGCGAUCGAUGGAAGGUCAUCUAUUCACGCGUAUCAGAAAGACACACAUCCCCUUCGAGAAAGAAAAAAAGAAAAAUAGGAAUAAAAAGACGGCGAUAUCGAAGCGUUGCGGAAACGCGAUAAGAGAGAAUUUUAUCAAUACCCGAGCUCUUCACAUUUCCAUUUAGGAGGCACAAUCUGACGGAACCGACGAGGGUACAUCGAAGUAUCUCGGCGAUGU